ACUUUGGACACUAAUUUAUUUUGACUCGCUAACUUUUUCAAGGUGGCAGAAAACGUUUGUCUUUGCUUUAUUUGUGUGUCAGGAUGGCCGAGUGGUCUAAGGCGCCAGACUCAAGGUUUGACUCCUUCUUCAGGAAAGAGGCUUCUGGUCUCCAAUUGGAGGCGUGGGUUCGAACGCCACUUCUGACAUGUCUAUACCGUUUUAUAGUCCAGUUUGGACACUAAUUUAUUUUGACUCGCUAACUUUUUCAAGUGGCAGAAAACGUUUGUCUUUGCUUUAUUUGUGUGUCAGGAUGGCCGAGUGAUCUAAGGCGCCAGACUUAAGGUUCGGCUCUGUAUGCAGUAAAGAGACUUCUGGUCUCCAAUUGGAGUCGUGGGUUCGAACCCCACUUCUGACAUGUCUUUACCGUUUUAUAAUCCACUUUGGACACUAAUUUAUUUUGACUCGCUAACUUUUUCAAGGUGGCAGAAAACGUUUGUCUUUCCUUUGUUUGUGUGUCAGGAUGGCCGAGUGGUCAAAGGCGCCAGACUCAAGGUUUGACUCCUUCUUCAGGAAAGAGGCUUCUGGUCUCCAUUUGGAGGCGUGGGUUCGAACCCCACUUCUGACAUGUCUAUACCGUUUUAAGUCCACUUUGGACACUCAUUUAUUUUGACUCGCUAACUUUUUCAAGGUGGCAGAAAACGUUUGUCUUUCCUUUGUUUGUGUGUCAGGAUGGCCGAGUGGUCAAAGGCGCCAGACUCAAGGUUUGACUC
ensembl:lncRNA